CAAACACGUGUGAAGUUUCACAGACACUGAGAGAAUCAUCAUAUAAUCACCACAUAAAUAAGAUCAACCAUGCCGAAGACAUCGACUGAGAUCCAUAAAUCAGAGAUGAGUAAUGAGAUGGAGCAUGAGGUUCUUCAGGUCGCUCUUCUGGCUGUGAAUAUGUAUGAAGAGGAAGAUGAUAUUGCUGAAUACAUAAAGAUGGAGUUUCAGAGAAAGCAUGGAGGCACCUGGCAAUGCAUUAUGGGGAACUUUGCUUGCAGCGUGACACAUAAACAGAACGGUUAUAUCAACUUCUCUGUUGAUGGCGAAAAGAUUUUGCUCUUCAAAACUGGCUGAGGUUCAUCAACAGUUCAAACACAAUUUAUUUGAUCCACAUAAUUAAUAAAACAUCCUCCCUCAGCUUGUGGUUCACGUGUCUUUCUGCUGUGAAAUCUUGACUUUUUUUUUUUUAAUAAAGUAAAUGUACGAAUAACUUUGAUAUUGUUAGUAAUAUUUCAAGAUGAACACUUUAUUUGAUUAUCCAAGGUCAAGGUCAAAGUUUAUUUUAAGCCCAAAGGGGGAUUUUUGGCGCAGUAUAAAAUAUGUAAAACACACAAUAAACAAACAACAUUGUGACAUCUUACAGGUUUAAAAGCCAAAUCACACCAGAAUGAAUCAUGUU